rnacentral:rRNA from 1 species
GAUGAACGCUGGCGGCGUGCUUAACACAUGCAAGUCGAACGAUGAAGCCCAGCUUGCUGGGUGGAUUAGUGGCGAACGGGUGAGUAACACGUGAGUAACCUGCCCUUGACUCUGGGAUAAGCCUGGGAAACUGGGUCUAAUACUGGAUAUGACUUCUCAUCGCAUGGUGGGGGGUGGAAAGAUUUAUUGGUCUUGGAUGGACUCGCGGCCUAUCAGCUUGUUGGUGAGGUAGUGGCUCACCAAGGCGACGACGGGUAGCCGGCCUGAGAGGGUGACCGGCCACUCUGGGACUGAGACACGGCCCAGACUCCUACGGGAGGCAGCAGUGGGGAAUAUUGCACAAUGGGCGCAAGCCUGAUGCAGCGACGCCGCGUGAGGGAUGACGGCCUUCGGGUUGUAAACCUCUUUCAGUAGGGAAGAAGCGAGAGUGACGGUACCUGCAGAAGAAGCGCCGGCUAACUACGUG